rnacentral:lncRNA from 1 species
CGGCAGGGCGCGGCAGCCAAUCAGCGCGCGGCUUCUAUAGGGCUUGAGUUAUUAGACGCUGAUCUCAAAACAUCCUUCAUCAGACACGAAGGAGAGGCCAACAGAUGAGGGAAGCCAUUUUUCUGCAAUGGAAUUAAAUGGCCAAGUGGGUUUUUCCUUUGUUGCAAAUGGGGAAUGUUUUUCCUUUGACUCUACCAUCCAGUUCAGGACGUCUCAGUGUGUUUAACAUUUGUCAACAGGCCCAAGGACUCACAGUUGGAAGACUGGAGAAGACUUUUUAAAAAGAUCUGGAUUUUUCCUUAUGACUUGGAAUCCAUCUUUGUCUUGUAUAACUAGGUCAUAGCACACCAUUCAUGUCAGCAGUUAACAGUUUUGAAUUACAAAAAAACCUAAGUAAAUGACAUAUUUUUUUUCCUCUUUUUGUUCUAUGGGUGGGUGGGGGGAGCUUGGAGCUGUCUUGAUCUGUAUUCUCUUGACUGAACAAUAAAUUUUUAAAUAUAUCUAGUUUCCUCUAUUAAACACUUAAACCUGGCCAUCUUAUUAACUCCUUCUCUCUUUUUAACAAGGUAACGUUUUAAAUGUAUAUAGCUUUAGGACUAGCGAAAUGGCAGCAACAAAAAAUUGUGAGCAGUUGUUACUCUUUCAGUUUUUAAAAAACCUUUUACAUUGUAAGUACCCAAUCCAUUCUGUCCUGACGCAGUACAGUUUUGAUGUUAAUGUUGCUGAGAUGUCCUUAAUUUUCCGAACCUUCAUCUGCAUGUAUGUCUUUGUCUCUCUUGUCUAAUAUAAGCCAGUUAAGAUGCUUGAGACGAUCUUGCUUUAUAAAGCUAAGGUUCUAGCUUUAUGCUUUUGAAAAUGUUUACAGCACUAAAUGCUAGUCAGCUUUCUUCCCCGUAGCUUGUACACUUUCUUUGAAAAUCGAUCUAUUUGAAGAAAAACAGCCCUGUUUUUCUCGUCUUUGGUGUUGGGGGUUGGGGGGAGCUGGUGGGUGAGGGAAAGGAAGACCUUUUCUUUGUGUAGAGAGACUAAAGCCGUCACAGGAAACUAGAUUAAAACUGGAAAACAAGUCCUAGCUGGUUCCAGCAAACACCAACGUUAAGUGGGGGGUAUUUUCUAUGGUGGUUGGGCGGCUGGUGCGUCUUUUGCCUUUUGUUUGAUUUGACUGUAUUUUCCCUUUUGUCUCUUAAUGACGAUCACACCAUUGCUAUAUCCAGAGCAGUAAACAGUCCUCAGCGAAGCCGCCUUUUUGCCUACCCAACCCUGGAAAGUUUGCAGAAGUGGAAGGAGCAGAACGUGAGGGUGUAACUUACAAAAAGCUUGAUCUUCUAGACUCCAUGGCACCGGGCUGAGCGGGUCUGAACCUGGAUGGGGAGAAGAAAUUGAAGUGCUUUGGAGACGGGGGACUUAAAACACUAGGGAGCCUCAUCGCCCAGCCUUGGGCCCACUUUCCUUUCGAUCGUGAGGAUUCCGCACCCCGAAGCCGGCUUCUCGGGGCUCCGGGGCGCGCCUGCGCUGGCAACGCGAAGGAGGACAAAAGGCCGGCGUCCAUGUUGGCACCAUGACGCAGCAUCUCCGCCCGCAGCCCGGCGCUCCUGUCCUCCCGGCCGCGCUCGCUCCUCCUCCCAAACACCAGUUUUCUUUACAGGCUUCGAGCCCGUCGCGGCUGGGCCGGGCUGGUCUGGCAGGCGGGCCCAGCCGGGCAGGGCUGCUUUGCUAAUGGCGGCGGCUCUCUUUCCUUCCUUCCUCCUUUCCUCCGUCCCCCCGGUCGUGGGGAGCCCGGAGCAGGAGGCGGGCCCGCG